UCCCUGGUGGCUCAGAUGGUAAAGAAUCUGCCUGCAAUGCAGGAGACCUAGGUUCGAUCCCUGGAUGGGGAA
rnacentral:tRNA from 1 species